GACGAACGCUGGCGGCGUGCUUAACACAUGCAAGUCGAACGGGACGAUCCGGCCUUUGUGCGCUCCUGUAGUUGCCAACGGGUGACUUACACGUGAGUUACCUGUCCUUGACUUUAGGGGAUCUUCAUGAAACUUGAUCUAAUCGCGCCUAGGAGCUCCCGCUUCUUGGUGGGGGUGGGUUAGAUUCGGUGGUUGGUGAUGUACUCGCGUCUCAUCAGGUUGUUGGUGGGGUAGUGGCUUACCAAGGUUUUGCCGCGUAGCCGUCCUGAGAGGGUGACCGGCCACAUUGCGACUGAGAUAAGGCACAGACUCCUCCGGGAGGGAGGAGAGGGGAGUAUUGCACAAUGGGCGGAAGGCUGAUGCAGCAACGCAGCGUGCGGGAUGACGGCCUUCGCGUUGUAAACCGCUUUCGCCUGUGACGAGGCGUGAGUGACGGUAAUGGGUAAAGAAGCACCGGCUAACUACGUG
rnacentral:rRNA from 1 species